rnacentral:rRNA from 1 species
AACCUGGUUGAUCCUGCCAGUAGUCAUACGCGUCGUCUCAAAGAUUAAGCCAUGCAUGUCUAAGAAUAAGCAACUUUAUACUGUGAAACUGCGAAUGGCUCAUUAUAUCAGUUAUAGUUUAUUUGAUAGUCCCUUACUACUUGGAUAACCGUAGUAAUUCUAGAGCUAAUACAUGCGUCAAUACCCUUAUGGGGUGUGUUUUUUUAAAUACAUUGCAUUUAUUAGAUUGAAACUAAUUUUAAAGUUGAGUCAUAAUAACUGUGCGGAUCGUUUUGUAAAAAGCGAUGAAUCAAUUGGGUUUCUGCCCUAUCAGUUUUGGAUGGCUGUGUAUUGGACAGCCAUGACAUUAACGGGUAACGGGGAAUUGGGGUUUGAUACCGGAGAGGGCGCCUUAGAAAUGGCGACCACAUCCAAGGAAGGCAGCAGGCGCGUAAAUUACCCAAUCCUAAUUCUAGGGUAGGUAGUGACUAGAAAUAACGAUUCGAGAUGCUUUGCAUUUUGAAAUUGGAAUGAGAACAAUUUAAAUCCCUUAUCGAGGAUCAAUUGGAGGGCAAGUCUGGUGCCAGCAGCCGCGGUAAUUCCAGCUCCAAUAGCGUAUAUUAAAGUUGUUGCAGUUAAAAAGCUCGUAGUUGGAUUGGUGUUGGUUAUGUUUCUCUGGGAAAUUCUCAAAGCGACGUUAACCAAUAUAACCAAUAUAUUUGGGAUUUGGUCUAGAAUGGCAUUCAGUUGUUGAUUUAGUUCCAGCCCAUCGUUUACUGUGAAAAAAUUAGAGUGUUUAAAGCAGGUUUUGUAACCGUUGAAUACAUUAGCAUGGAAUAAUAAUAUAUGACUCGUAUGGUCUAUUUUGUUGGUUUGCACGUAUGAGUAAUGAUUAAUAGGGACAGUUGGGGGUAUUCAUAUUUGAGCGUCAGAGGUGAAAUUCUUGGAUCUCUGAAAGAUGAGCUAAGGCGAAAGCAUUUACCAAGGAUGUUUUCAUUAAUCAAGAACGAAAGUUAGGGGAUCGAAGAUGAUUAGAUACCAUCGUAGUCUUAACCAUAAACUAUGCCGACUCGGGAUUGUGUUUAGGGAUUAAACCCGAACGCAGCACCGUAUGAGAAAUCAAAGUCUUUGGGUUCCGGGGGGAGUAUAGUCACAAGGCUUAAACUUAAAGGAAUUGACGGAAGGGCACCACCAGGAGUGGAGCCUGCGGCUUAAUUUGACCCAACACGGG